CUUUAGUCUGAAGGUAGUGACUUAUCUCAAUUUAUUGUUCACCAUGAAGUUACAGAUUGAAUUCCUCAUUCUACUCUUCUUCCCCUUCUCAUUACUGCACUUGUCUAGACUAAU
ensembl:misc_RNA Y_RNA Y RNA